GAUGAACGCUAGCGACAGGCCUAACACAUGCAAGUCGAGGGGCAGCACAUGAGUAGCAAUACGAUGGUGGCGACCGGCGCACGGGUGAGUAACACGUAUGCAACCUACCUGUAAGAGGGGAAUAACCCGGAGAAAUUCGGACUAAUACCGCAUAAUACCGCUGAACUGCAUGGUUUAGUGGUUAAACAUUUAUGGCUUACAGAUGGGCAUGCGUAUGAUUAGCUAGUUGGUGAGGUAACGGCUCACCAAGGCAACGAUCAUUAGGGGUUCUGAGAGGAAGGUCCCCCACACUGGUACUGAGACACGGACCAGACUCCUACGGGAGGCAGCAGUGAGGAAUAUUGGUCAAUGGGCGAGAGCCUGAACCAGCCAAGUCGCGUGAAGGAAGAAGGUUCUAUGGAUUGUAAACUUCUUUUGUAAGGGAAUAAAAAAGAGUACGUGUACUCUAUUGUAUGUACUUUACGAAUAAGGAUCGGCUAACUCCGUGCCAGCCGCCGCCGUAACAC
rnacentral:rRNA from 1 species